GACGAACGCUGGCGGCGUGCCUAACACAUGCAAGUCGAACGGAAAGGCCCUGCUUUUGUGGGGUGCUCGAGUGGCGAACGGGUGAGUAACACGUGAGUAACCUGCCCUUGACUUUGGGAUAACUUCAGGAAACUGGGGCUAAUACCGGAUAGGAGCUCCUGCUGCACGGUGGGGGUUGGAAAGUUUCGGCGGUUGGGGAUGGACUCGCGGCUUAUCAGCUUGUUGGUGGGGUAGUGGCUUACCAAGGUUUUGACGGGUAGCCGGCCUGUGAGGGUGACCGGCCACAUUGGGACUGGGAUGCGGACCAGAAUCCUACGGGAGGCAACAGUGGGGAAUAUUGCGCAGUGGGCGGAAGCCUGAUGCAGCAGCGCCACGUGCGGGAUGACGGCCUUCGGGUUGUAAACCACUUUCGCCUGUGACGAAGCGUGAGUGACGGUAAUGGGUAAAGAAGCACCGGCUAACUACGUG
rnacentral:rRNA from 1 species